GCCUCCGUGGUACAGUGGUCAGCACACUCGGCGCGUAUUCGAGAGGCCUGUAGUUCAAGUCCCGGCGAGGGCA
rnacentral:tRNA from 1 species